AAUAUUGGACAAUGGGGGCAACCCUGAUCCAGCCAUGCCGCGUGUGUGAAGAAGGUCUUCGGAUUGUAAAGCACUUUAAGUUGGGAGGAAGGGCUAUAGGCUAAUACCCUGCAGUUUUGACGUUACCAACAGAAUAAGCCACGGCUAACUCUGUGCCAGCAGCCGCGGUAAUACAGAGGGUGCAAGCUUUAAUCGGAAUUACUGGGCGUAAAGCGCGCGUAGGUGGUUCAGUAAGAUGGGUGUGAAAUCCCCGGGCUUAACCUGGGAACUGCUUUCAUAACUGCUGAGCUAGAGUACGGUAGAGAGUAGUGGAAUUUCCUGUGUAGCGGUGAAAUGCGUAGAAAUAGGAAGGAACACCAGGGGCGAAGGAGACUACCUGGACUGAUACUGACACUGAGGUGCGAAAGCGUGGGGAGCAAACA
rnacentral:rRNA from 1 species